ACCAGUAGAAAGGUAUAACCAUGAAGAAAACACAAGAGCAAGGUAUCCAAACAGCUAAACUCCCAAUAGCAAAUUUCAGAAAAGGUUUGGCUACUUCCAUAAAGUUAAUCGAUGUCAUUCCAACGUAUAUGUACUCAAGUAAAAUAACUAAAGGUCUCUGAAGGAUAGCUCAUGUUGUAAAAGCUGAGUGACAUAUGGGUUGGGGAGGGGAAGGUCAAGGGUUCAAUCCCUUGAGGAUGUAAUUUAUCUAGGGAUGACAACAUAACCCGAACCCGUGGGUGUCCGUUCGAACCUGGCCCGAUUACGGGCAAAACCCGAUAUGUUUGAGUUUGGUAUUGGUGAAACCUGCACUCGAACCCGAACAAUAUAUAUAAAAUUACAAAAUUACUCUUAUAUGUACCAUGUUAACUACUUUGAUUUGUUAACAAUUUGAUCUUAUUUGAACAAGAUACUAUAUUUGUUUGCAAAGAAGAUAUAAAAGGUUUUUUCAUAACAAAAUCAUAUAAGUUGCGUUUUGUUUUACAAAGAACUCUGCAUCAAGUUAGGUUAGGAAGUGAGUUUGAGGCUAUAACAAGUUUGAGUUUGGUAUGAAAGUUCGGGUUUGAGUUUGGGAAAGACAAAAUUCGAGCCCGAUCAGACCCGUUGCAUCCCUAAAUUUAUCUUUCCGAUAUAAAAAAAAGUAAAAUAACUAAAGGCUAUGUAACAUCAUUAAGUCUAUUAAAAAAUUUGAAACUGAUGUCAUUCCAACGUAUAUGAUACCUUAGUAAGUGGGAAAGAAAAAUGUUGUACAUAUGUAUUAAAUUUUUGUACAAAAAAAAAGUGCCAUAAAGAAAAGCAUAAAUAUAAAAUUAUUACACUUUUACAAAACAAAAUGAAACACAUUCAUCUCAAAAAAGUCUUUCAAAUAAUACUUAUUUUGAAAAAUUUCACGAUAUAAACAUAAAUGAAUAUCCCCGUGCAACGCACGGGUAAAAAUACUAGUUACUUAUAAGGAUAAUUAAUUAAUUAAUGUGGAAAAUUAUAAUUCUAAUGAAGGAAAUUUGAAAGUCGAUGCAAUAAAUAAGUUUAAUUUGAUCAUGUGAUUGGAAAAAACAAUGGCAACAGUACUGGGUGGAGAUAAAUUAAAUGAGUACUAUAUAUACACUACUUAAGAGGACUAACACUAAAACAAGCAUAUAUAAUCUUUAACAUCUAUCUAUCUAUCUAUCUAUCUAUACUAUAUAUAAAGGGAGAGUUUUUGCAGCCUAGAGGGCAACUUGGUCAUUUAAUUAUCCAUUGCACUACAUUUUACAUUUUGAUUUACAGCAUGGGCAAUUUAGUAAAGAAACACAUUAUUUGUUAAAGAUGCAAUCUGAGCCUUACAAUCUUCUCUUCACUUGCAUUUCCGCCGUUCUCUCUUUCACUGCAAAUAAAUUUUCUCAUAGACUCUCUGAAAUCCCUAUCCUGAGCGUUACUAUCUUGGAGCCACUACUUCUUCUCUUAACUUUUGUUCUUCCUUUCCGUUUUACUCCCAUGUUCGUCGAGCUUGCUCUUGCUGGCAAGGUUCUCUCUGUAAAAUCGAUGUUGCCUUUUGUGGCUUAUUUCUUCCUCCAUUUGUAUAAUUGUAAUCAAUCUUACGAAUUGAUUUUUCGUAUGUCAUAUAUGCUAUUGUCAUCUUCUGCAUUUUCUUUAGAAUUACAGUUAUACUAUUAUAACGACAUUGAUUGAUUUUUAAAAUAGAUUCUAGAAUGACUAUAAAUGUGGAUUUUCUUUUACAGAGGUUAUCCCCCAAGCUAUACUAUUGUUCAACUCUUCAAGGGUCCAUUUUGCAUUGAGUCCUUGCCUUUGAAAAUAAAAUUGUUGACUUAAUUUAUUGCUAAUAAUCUUUUUCUUAAAUUUUCACAUGCCUUCUGCCUUAUACAUUUUAUCAGUUAUGACUUUUGAAUCAUCCUCUAUAGUUGGUCAAUACUUUUUUUAGCCAACAUUUUUAUAAUUUUCUUAAGGACAACCUAUAACUGACGUAGAGGUCUAAUGCUUUGUAGUUUAGAUAUUGUAUAAUUUCUAGCAGUAAUGCUUUUAAUUUCCAUUUAAUUUAUUUACUCUUUUGAUUUGCCUUUCCUGUGUUCUUUGCAUUCCAUACUCUAUUCUAAUUUAGGGUGUCUUAUGUUGUCAAGGUAACAAUUUUAGUAUUAUCUCUUAAUUUUAAGUUUAUCUCCUCCCAUAAUCCCUAGAUAGUUUUAUUAUUACGUGACAUUGAUUUCAUUUUUUGUUUAGAGCCUUUUAAAAAUUCCUUAUCUUGAAUUUUCAAAAUCUCUAUGAUUAUGGGAUUGCAUUGUCGAAACAGGGGUCCUCUCUCAAAACAUUUCACUGACCUGUUUUCAAGGGUAGUGCUUUUUUUCCCCUGGCUGGGUGUUCUGUUCCCAUACUGUCAAGACUAAGGAUUCAGAAUCAAAGAUGUGGGUAAGAAACUAUUUUCACUUUUUCUCCACAGGAGGGCAAAGAUGUUUAGAGAGUACUGGGAGGAAGUCCAUUGGAAUUUCAGAAAUUCCAGUCUGUUUUUGAAACAAUGGGUGAGAAAUGAAAGAGUAAUAGCAUUUACGUGUAAUCAUUUCAUUUUAAUUCUUUUAUGUCAGUUUCUCAACUAAAAGUGAAAAGGAUUAAUUCGUUUUUUAAAAAAUUGCUUUCAGUUUUCGUUUGUAAUAAUUUACCACUGUUUACAUUUUAAUAGCAUUAAACUUCUUUUUUCUUAUGUUUUGAACUUUUGGUUGAAACAUUGAACGGUUAAAAUUUGAAUUAAAUUUGAGUAGAAUAAAGGAACAUUGCAUUUUUUUUUUCUAUUACAAUGUUUUCUUUAUUUCAACUUAUAAUUGGAUGCCGAAUAGUUCACUUCUGAAACUCACUUAGUUAUAACUUCCAAAGAUGUUUUUUCUUAUGUUUCUUCUUCUGUUUGUGCUUAUAUAGACGCACUUAUUAUUAGGAACUUUCCCUUUCUUCCCAAUGUAGUUUUAUUCUACAUUAGUUCACUACGCCUGAAUUUGCUUACUAAAGCGCCUGUUUUAAAGCGUUUAUUAGACGAAACGCUUUAAUAAUUACGAAUGGAUAUGCUAAAGCGCUUCUCUUUGGAUGACGCUUUAAAAUAUCAGAUUACUUACAACGCUCCAUAUCAAAGAGCGUGUUAAUUAUGAUAGAUAAAAAAAUCACAAUAUAUUUACAGCGUUUAUGCUGAAAAACGCUUUAAGAAAGUUGUGUGUUUACCGCGCCUUACUUAAUAAAACGCUUUAGAAGAACUAAGUUUUUUUUUUAAAUAUAAUUGGAAUACACGUUCUCGCAAAUCUCGCACCUCCACUCUCCCAGUUUCCCUAAUUUGCAGGUUGGUUCCUUAACGUGAGAAACCCCCAAAUCUCCAUUUCUUUUUCCAAACAAGUCUUGCAUCGAACAUGAAUCACAUCUAAAACCAGCAGCAAAACACAUAGAUUCAGAGGAGAAAGGGGAGGCGAACUAGAACAGAUUCGCGUGGAGGAACAGCAGCGAUGAACGUGGCGGCGCGUGGGAGGAAAAGCAGUGGCGGAUCGAAACCUCACGACGGAGAACGGUGGGUCGUGGCGGUGGCUAGCAGAGGAGCGUGGUGGAGGCGAUUUAGAAGGAAGGGAUGUGGUGCAGCCAUGGGAGAGAAAGGGAGUGGCCACUGGUUCCUCCUCCUCCAACGGCCCCAACCCUAACGCAGCAGCAGAGGAGUAAAGACCAGCUUGCUGGAAAAGGAACCUGUUGAUUUUUGGCCUCUUAUUCUUGAUUUCCCUCAGAUUUGUUACCUCUGAUUCACAAUUUCUAUCUCGCAGGAAGCUCCUCACCGAAGCCAUAAUGUCUACUGCCUCACGCAGGCUUCUCCCAAUCUAAUUCUAUUACCUAUUUGCACUGCAAUAUAUCCCCCCCUAAGAAAGACACUUUCCAGUUCUGCAGCAAGCAAAGAAACAAUCAUGGCAGCUCCAACAGAUUUUUUGGAUCCAAGAUAGCGCCCCCAAUAAUAAAGAUCCCAUGAUCAGCAAUCUAUUGUGGAUGCCCUUUCGAGUUAGCAACAAGCAACUUUGGGCGAAAUGUGUAGACAUAAUGGAGUAUAAUGAUAUAGAAGUUUCAUUUUCGUCCUCAGCACCUUAUGCUUCAGAGUCGAAAAUUCUGGCUUGAGAUUUUAGUUGCAUAAAGGUUCGAAAAAAUUGUAGAGCCCUUUUUUUCCCUUCCUUUUUCAAUUCUUAAUGUUAUCUUGAAUUCCAUCUUGCAAUUACUGUAUUUUAUUUUAGACUUUAUCCUGAGGCUAAGACAACAAUUCAGAGUUGGUGUUUUGAGAAACGAAAAUUUCAUAGUGGAAUAUAUAGUAUGCAGGUUUUAGCAAGCACAUAAAAUCUAAGACUGUGUCAACUUUGAGCAAUUACUUAUGUUCUUUUUCAAUAGAUAAUACCUAUGUUAGCUAGAAUGUUGCAAUUUUCAUUGCUUUAUUUUAAUGGUAACAGGGACACAUUGGGAAGUCUUGUUGGGGUGUUUUUCUUUGUAUUGUAUUGGUGAAACAAGUAAAUUUGUGGUGGUAGU